rnacentral:rRNA from 1 species
GACGAACGCUGGCGGCGUGCUUAACACAUGCAAGUCGAGCGGAAAGGCCCUGCUUUUGCGGGGUGCUCGAGUGGCGAACGGGUGUGUAACACGUGAGUAACCUGCCCUUGACUUUGGGAUAACUUGAGGAAACUGGGGCUACUACCGGCUAGGAGCUCCUGCUGCAUGGUGGGGGUUGGAAAGUUUCGGUGGUGGGGGGUGGACUCGCGGCUUAUCAGCUUGUUGGUGGGGUAGUGGCUUACCAAGGCUUCGACGGGUAGCCGGCCUGGGAGGUGGGACGGCCACAAUGGGACUGAGAGACGGCGCAGUCGGCUACGGGAGGCAGCAGUGGGGAAUAUUGCACAAUGGGCGGAAGCCUGAUGAAGCAACGCCGGGUGCGGGAUGACGGCCUUCGGGUUGUAAACCGCUGUCGCCUGAGACGAAGCGGGAGUGACGGUAAUGGGUAAAGAAGCACCGGCUAACUACGUG